rnacentral:rRNA from 1 species
CGAACGGGUGAGUAACGCGUGAGGAACCUGCCUCAAAGAGGGGGACAACAGUUGGAAACGACUGCUAAUACCGCAUAAGCCCACAGGUCGGCAUCGACCAGAGGGAAAAGGAGCAAUCCGCUUUGAGAUGGCCUCGCGUCCGAUUAGCUAGUUGGUGAGGUAAUAGCCCACCAAGGCGACGAUCGGUAGCCGGACUGAGAGGUUGAACGGCCACAUUGGGACUGAGACACGGCCCAA